rnacentral:rRNA from 1 species
GACGAACGCUGGCGGCGUGCUUAACACAUGCAAGUCGAACGGAAAGGCCCUGCUUUUGUGGGGUGCUCGAGUGGCGAACGGGUGAGUAACACGUGAGUAACCUGCCCUUGACUUUGGGAUAACUUCAGGAAAAUGGGGCUAAUACCGGAUAGGAGCUCCUGCUGCAUGGUGGGGGUUGGAAAGUUUCGGCGGUUGGGGAUGGACUCGCGGCUUAUCAGCUUGUUGGUGGGGUAGUGGCUUACCAAGGCUUUGACGGGUAGCCGGCCUGAGAGGGUGACCGGCCACAUUGGGACUGAGAUACGGCCCAGACGCCUACGGGAGGCAGCAGUGGGGAAUAUUGCACAAUGGGCGGAAGCCUGAUGCAGCAACGCCGCGUGCGGGAUGACGGCCUUCGGGUUGUAAACCGCUUUCGCCUGUGACGAAGCGUGAGUGACGGUAAUGGGUAAAGAAGCACCGGCUAACUACGUG